rnacentral:piRNA from 1 species
AACAGCUGGAGUAGAAAAGGUUGCCUA